AGUUCCAUGGUGUAGUGGCUAUCACGUCUCCUUUACAAGUAAUCCUUACUUAGUAUGUAUACGGAGAAGGUCGAGGGUUCAAUCCCCUCUGGGACUA